rnacentral:rRNA from 1 species
UAGGGAAUCUUCCGCAAUGGGCGAAAGCCUGACGGAGCAACGCCGCGUGAGUGAUGAAGGUCUUCGGAUCGUAAAACUCUGUUAUUAGGGAAGAACAAAUGUGUAAGUAACUAUGCACAUCUUGACGGUACCUAAUCAGAAAGCCACGGCUAACUACGUGCCAGCAGCCGCGGUAAUACGUAGGUGGCAAGCGUUAUCCGGAAUUAUUGGGCGUAAAGCGCGCGUAGGCGGUUUUUUAAGUCUGAUGUGAAAGCCCCGGCUCAACCGGGGAGGGUCAUUGGAAACUGGUUGACUUGAGUGCAGAAGAGGAGAGUGGAAUUCCAUGUGUAGCGGUGAAAUGCGUAGAUAUAUGGAGGAACACCAGUGGCGAAGGCGACUCUCUGGUCUGUAACUGACGCUGAGGCUCGAAAGCGUGGGUAGCAAACAGG